rnacentral:lncRNA from 1 species
CCAUCCAAUCCCAUUGAUCCCAUCGAUCCCAUCCGAUCAAUCCCAUUGAUCCUAUCCCAUCAGUCCCAUCAAUCCCAUCCAAUCAAUCCCAUUGAUCCAAUCCCAUUGACCCCAUCCAAUCCCAUUGAUCCCACUGACCCCCAUUGAUCCCAUCGAUCCCACUGAUCCCAUCCGAUCAAUCCCACUGAUCCCAUUGAUCCCAUCGAUCCCACUGACCCCAUCUAAUGCCAUUGAUUCCAUUAACCCCCGAUCAAUCCCAUUGAUCCCAUUGAUCCCAUCCGAUCGAUCUUAUCAAUCCCAUCGAUCCCAUCCGAUCAAUCCCAUUAAUCCCAUCUGAUCAAUCUUAUCGUUCCCAUUGAUCCCACCCGAUCGACCCCACGGCCCCCCCUUGCCCCGGCGCACCCUCGGACUCGGAGCCUUCCUCCUCGGCCUCCUCCUCCUCCUCGCUCUCCUCGCCGUCGCUCUCCUCCUCCUUCUCCACCUUCUGCCGCACGCUGGUGAACACCGACUGCAGCACGAUCGAGUCCUCGUAGAUCUGCCAGCGGUCACUCGCGGUCACUCAUGGUCAGUCAUGGUCAGUCAUGGUCAGUUCUGGUCACUCACAGUCAGUUCUGGUCACUCGCGGUCAUUCACGGUCACUCGGUCAGUUCUGGUCAGUCUUGGUUCAGUUCUGGUCAGUCUUGGUCACUCACGGUCACUCGCGGUCACUCAUGGUCGGUCGUGGUCAGUCAUGGUCAGUUCUGGUCAGUCUUGGUCACUCAUGGUCACUUGUGGUCAGUCAUGGUCACUCCUGGUUAUCCAUCGUCAAUUCUGGUCACCCAUGGUCAGGCAUGGUCAUUUCUGGUCAUUUCUGGUCACUCAUGGUCAGUCUUGGUCACUCGUGGUCAGUCUUGGUCACUUAUGGUCAGUUCUGGUCACUCAUGGUCACUUGUGGUCAGUCACAGUCAGUCAUGGUCACUUGUGGUCAGUCACGUUCAGUCAUGGUCACUUGUGGUCAGUCAUGGUCACCCGUGGUCAGUUCUGGUCAGUCAUGGUCACUUGUGGUCAGUCUUGGUCACUCAUGGUCAGUCGUGGUCAGUUCUGGUCAGUCCUGGUCAUCCCUGGUCAUUCCAACUCAUUCCAGGCCAUUCCUGGUCACUCCUGGUCAGUUCUGGUCUUCCCUGGUCACUCUUGGACAUUCCUGGCCACCCCAG